rnacentral:rRNA from 1 species
UACGGAGGGUGCGAGCGUUGUCCGGAAUCACUGGGCGUAAAGGGCGUGCAGGCGGUUUGUUAAGUCUAGGGUGAAAGCUCCCGGCUCAACUGGGAGAGGUCCUUGGAUACUGGCAGACUUGAGGAGGGUAGAGGAGAGUGGAAUUCCCGGUGUAGUGGUGAUAUGCGUAGAUAUCGGGAGGAACACCAGUGGCGAAGGCGGCUCUCUGGGCCCUACCUGACGCUGAGACGCGAAAGCGUGGGGAGCGAACCGG